rnacentral:lncRNA from 1 species
AGAAAGCCCGCAGAGCCAGCGCCGAGCUGCAACAGGGAGCGGGGAAGGGACGUGACGUGACGUGACGCUGGGAAGGCUGCGGGGCGUGAUGAAGUGCUCCGAUGGGGGCACGAGGCUGAUGGAAGGCUGCUCCGAGAAGGGGGCUUGGGUGGGGAGCGGCACGUGGGCAGGAAGAAGAGAGGAGCUUUCUCAGCUCAGGAGCAGCGGAAUCGCUCGGGGCCGUGCCGGGGUAGGCCCGUGCCUUCCGAAGGCCGAAUGCGAUGCCUCCCAUGUGCCUUGUUUUAGAAGCUGACAUUCCAAAUGCAUCACAGCAAAUUAAGGGAAGGAUCCAUUACCAAUAAAGAUGUUGAGGUACAGAGUCUCAGAAAUCCUGUUGGGAAGACUGAAGAGAGAACUGCCGCAGCGUGCACCUGUAGGGUGACUCCGUCUUCUGCUGCUUCUGCUUUUGUGAAGCUUCUUUAGAAAAACUCCAAUCAGUAGGUGCUGCAAGAGAAGUUCUGGCAGGCUGUCACAGCCUAAUAUUUAUAGAUCGCAGUCUGCAAAAAAUAGAUACAUUAUGAAUUAGCAAUAGAAAGAGUGCUUUACAGCUUAUCUGUAUUAAAGUGCAUGAUCGUUAAUGUGUAGUAGGCAAAUAUUUAAAUGAUGAAUUGGCAUAGAUAUAUCACCUAUUUCUGCUGUUUCACUAAAUGAGUACAAAAGCAAUUACAGUUAAAAGAUGUCAUCAGAUACUUAUUAUUUUACAGUUAACUAAUACUACAUGAAGACGACUUUCAAACACUGUCAGUGAUGUCCUGACAUCAUGAAAGUAACUGGGAAACUUUCACUGACUUCAACUGAGUCAGCAGUUCAUCCUGAACACAUCUGUUAAUGAAACAGUAUGGAAUUCGCUCUGAAAAAUAGACUAUCACAAACUUUGAACUGCAUUAAUUUCACUGGUAUUGUAAUUAAAAGAAUUUAUAUGAUUAUUUAGCUUGCAUCUGGCAAAACUGGAAUCAAAAACUGUAUCAGUGCACAGCUUUAUUCUUGCAGCUUACUGACUCUUACCCUGCAGGAUUAGAUUUGAAUGCUUCCUAGAAUUUUGUUCACACAUCUCUUCAACUGUUUUUAGUAGCAAUAAACAUUUUCAUUCAAUGUCUUAACAGA